UUGGUACUUGGAGAGAGGUGGUCCGUGGCGCGUUCGCUUUAUACAUGGCGCACAUUACACGGUCGACCUCUUUUCAGUAUCUAAUC
ensembl:miRNA MIR323A microRNA 323a